rnacentral:rRNA from 1 species
UACGUAGGGGGCAAGCGUUGUCCGGAAUCAUUGGGCGUAAAGAGCGUGUAGGCGGCUUGGUAAGUCCGCUGUGAAAGUCCAGGGCUCAACCCUGGAAAGCCGGUGGAAACUGUCAAGCUCGAGUCCGGAAGAGGCGAGUGGAAUUCCUGGUGUAGCGGUGAAAUGCGUAGAUAUCUGGAGGAACACCGGUGGCGAAGGCGGCAUCCUGGACCAAUACUGACACUGAGGAGCGAAAGCCAGGGGAGCAAACGGG